rnacentral:misc_RNA from 1 species
CACGGUGUAGCUCGCCGUCAUCUGGAUCAUCUCGACUAUCUAGACCGUAUUGAUCGCGGCCUAAGCAGCUGUAGCUGCUCUGACAGUAACGUUGGGGCGGCCGCACGGAAAACACACGUGUUAUACGAACAGCGGUGCGACGUGCUCGGACUCGGCGUCCCUCUCGAUGGACAAAGGGCAUCGCUGAAAUCGAGUGGACGUAAUCGGGUGGUGCAGGUCGCACAGAUGACUUCCGGUCGUUUUCUCCGGGGCGGAAGCGUCCCGAGCGUCGGUUCUGUUGGUCGCGCCUCCGACUUGGCCAUAAAAAUCCCGCCGUCAGCAGGUUCGACGAGUUCCGCUCGACUCCGAUCGUGAUCGAUCGGUUUUAUUUUUGCGUACGGAAAUGUUCCACACGGCGAGCCACGCACUCGCUCGUUUUACCCGUUUUGCGUUCUUUCUUGCACGUGUGAUAAGUGAAAGGUAUCGUAAUUAUCAGGGUUGGUUUCCCCGUGUCGUUUACCGCGGAAGUGACUUCAGUGGCGUCGGUGGCGGGUUUUGUUGCUCUCAGAGGGUGUUGCACGUUGUGGUGGACAUCAAUCGCGGAUAAUUCCGCUUUUCUAGUGCAUGGAAAAUUUAUGUUGUUUGCAUUCGCCAUGUUUCGAAGCGUUUGGGGAAUAAUUUAGGGUAGUUUGCAACGGAUUCUCUUGUGUUUGGUGGUUUUUUUUUUAAUAUUUAAAACAUUAUUAUUUAAUAGAGUAUGAUAAAUCCUAUGUUGUUUUAUUUUUAUUUUCGACUGUGUUUCUACUUGCUGCCAAUUUUAUUUACUCUAAAAAUAUGUUAGUAUAGUUUGUUAUCGUUCAAUUUGAAACGUUUAUUAAUUUUAAAAUGUUUAUCAAUUCUUUGGAAUAGUGACUAGAAUAUAAAUAAUGUUGCUUAGCGAUUUAGAUUGUGUUCCAUGUUUUAAAGAUUAAAUUUUCCUUGAAUUUUCUUUUUAUGUUUUAUAUGGCAGACUGCAAGAUUAUAUUUAAAUUUAUUAUAAAGAUUGCAUAUUUAUGUUCCAUGUUUACGACGCGAUAAUUUAUGAUGCGACAGUCUUUCUUUCCUGCAAUUCGCUGUUAGUAUUUCAUAUUUCCGAAUAAAUUAUAUUUGAUCGGUAUUCGAGAAUUAUCAGUCACGGGAACAAUGUUAGGUGAAUAUAUUAUAUAUAUAUGGAUGGUUUCUCUUUCUUAUCAAUGCGUGCAGUUAUCACUAGCCAAAAGAGUGACGUUUCAUAAAAUAUUCACAUUUAAAGCCAGUUAAAUAAAUAUCGUAUGCAUGAAACACAAGUCCACGUGCAAUAAAUUCCAGUGAUAAAUUUUUGCUUUGUGAUUAACGGGACUUUGCAGACUUUGCCUGCGAUCGAAUGCUUCGUAUCGAGAAUAUCUUUCCUUAUAGACAUUUCUGUUAAUGUAUGUCUCGUCAUAAAAGAGCUGCUUCUGGUUCACUGUAUCAUCGAUCACAAGUGGUUUUUUCCUGAAAAGAGUUGAAAAUACGAGACACAAAGAGGUGGUCAUGUAAGCGCGAGGGUAAAGAGCCUACGGUCGAUUAUCGUUCAUCUCGUCGAGUGGUUAUCGCAUCUUCCAGCGGGGAAAGCACCGAUGCGGACGAAGAGGAGUACAAGUUCCACGUUUCUCUUCUCGGGCUCUACGCGAAAGAUACGUGCGCUUACAUAACUUGCACGAUAUCCCAGCAAAUAUCACGCGAAACGUAAACGCGAUCGCUAAGUAGCUCGCUUUCAGCAUUUCAUGCUGUCGCUCUUAUCGCGUUUACUAAUCGACCGACAAGAGUCACACUCGUACCUAGUACCUUUUGCAUUAUUAAGGCGAAUUGUUACGGACUUUACAACUGUACCGAUUUGCAUCCGCGUCUCAGCUGAUUUCAACCAGAGAGACGUAUUGCACCAGGCCCGAGUGUGUUGAUCGCGGUAUUCCCGGCCGAGGUGAAAAAAUCCGACGAUUUUACGGUAACGGUGUGUAUUUACGUAUACGGGAAUGCAUAUUUAUAGACGUUAAAAACGUCGCUUACAUUUCGAUAAGAUCACGCAUGAAUGUAAAUUCUUGCUUUACCUUUAAAGUACGUCCAUUCGUACGUGGAACAUUAGCGACUAACGACGUUCGACCUGGAGAAUGUCACCGACACAACACGUCUGCGUGCUGAGUUCACGUAACACACUCGGCGUGUUCGGAUUCUCGCCAUUCGCGAUCGCGUUUCAGUUUCGACAACAUCUAACGCUGGGAAAUCGCGUUCCGCUCAAUAAUCCCAUCGCCUCCUGGUUCUCGUAAUUCUUUUCUUAUUACCGCCUUGACGAAAGAAUCGCGCUAACUCGAUGACGUGAUACUUCCACGUGCUAAUUGCCGAGUGUUAAUUGAUGCUUAAAUUACCGAGUGAGUGAUGGCGACGCUUGUUAGUCUUGUGAAAUUGUACUCGCUCGCAUCUCUGCAAAAAGACCUAAUUAAUAUUAUGUCACACGAUUCAUAAUCCCGUAUGCUCUUCCCUUCAGUCUAUUAUAAGUUACAAAGCUGCUAAAUUAAUUUUGCGAAGUUUAGAUUACAGCUUCCGGUUUCUGACAAGUAUAUGCAAAGAAGAUAAUUAAUUUAAUGUAAUAAAUUUACAUCUCUGUUGAAUGUCAAGAAAAUAACAUAACAAAAUAUAUAAAAACUCAGAAGAAAAAAACAGAUGAACGAAAAGCGACAAAGAAAUUGGAUUUAAAUGUGGCAAAGAUCUUUAUUCCUUAUCACAAUGACAAUAUGUACGAAUAACGAGAUAAAAUUAUUCAGUAAUUAAACAUUUUCACGAGACACAGACGCCUUUGUUCAGAAUAGUUAUUAACAUCGUAGAAUUUCCGUAACCGAGAUUCUCCUCCGCAAUUAACGUGUUCCUCAUGCGUUUAGGCAUUCUUUCCAUCGCAUCGUUUCUCUUGUCCUUGCGUCGCUCAAAUUGUGCGUGACAGCAAUUCCGUUCACAAAUCUUAUCGACUUUCAUUUAUUAGCAGAUAAACGAUUAGUCAUUGCAAACGAGUAAAAUCAUCAUAGGGAAAGAACUUAGGGAAAACGGAGACUACCUAGAAACAUUGUUUCGUGGAGGAAUUGUUCAAUUGUUUCAUUUGGUGAAACGAAAGACAUGCUGGCCGAGAGUGCGUUAGCUUUGUUUGUGCCCGUUAAUCAGUUCAAUUGAAUAACGUAUUAAUACUCCGGGGUCAUCGCGAGGGUUAAUCGCAAUGUCCACGCCGGACACGAUGGAUACCAUCGACGAAGCGGAGCAAGCGUGGCAUGAGAUGCUGGAGUGCGAGACCGGGUCUCUUUUGGACAGAGUUGCGGACCUCGAGAGGCAAUCCUUGGCGCAGAAGGACGAAAUAGUUUGUCUUCGCGCUACUCUAGCGGACGCAUUAAGGCGGAUCGCCCAGCUCGAAGGGAGAGAAAAACGGGAAGAUGAGAGGAACGAGAGAAGAAACGAAAGGAUGGUGUCUUCACCCUUGAGAAACGGCCAUGUACCUCUCAGAAGUAGUCAAAAUUCGGUGCCACAGAAGGACCUGAGGCUGCGCCAGAGCAGCGGACUCAGAAAUUCCUCUUCCUCGGGAUCGUCGCAGGAUGUCCGCGACGCGACGUCCAGUCCAAGACGACCUGUCAGUUACGUGCAUCCCUCUCAACUCCCUCAAAGGAGAUCCGUCCAUUAUCAGUCCACGGGCUCUUUACAUUCGGAUAGCCCAAGUAGUAGUAGUGUUUCUCCGGUGCCAUCACCAAGUCCUAGAGCUACGCCACUGCCUGUAGCCAGAUCACCCACGGCAAGAUCAAACGGACCGCAAAGUAGCUUAAGAAGAGCGAAGAGAUGGUCGUCCACCGGCGAUUUUACACACUCCCCGCAAAAUCAGGGGAGCAAUUCCCAGCUCGUCGGUACCAGAUUGUCUACGUCCACCAAGUCCCUGUUCAACCUGUUCAAGCCACCGGCGAUGAACAACGUCAAGCACGGUACCAGAGACAUGCAGUACAACGAGGAGGAAGGCACCGUCCGCAUGUACUUGCGCGGCCGACCGGUCGUCCUUUACGUCCCUACGUCCAUGAUGGACUCUUAUGAUCUUCACAAAGUUAGUACGCCGCCGCAAAGCAAAUUGAAACUCGACUGGGUCUACGGAUACCGAGGUCGCGAUUGCCGUAGUAAUUUGCACCUGCUGCCGACCGGCGAAAUCGUGUACUUCGUCGCGGCGGUCGUUGUUCUGUACAACAUGGAGGAGCACAGCCAGCGACAUUACCUGGGUCACACGGACGACAUCAAGUGCAUCGCGAUUCACCCUAACAAACUGGUCGUCGCGACAGGACAGGUUUGCGGAACGGAUCGUCGAGAUGCUAUGCCACACAUCAGAAUAUGGAACUCCGUGAGCCUGACGACUCUUAGCGUAAUCGGCAACGGCGAAUUCGAUGGAUCGAUUUGCUGCCUGUCGUUCUCCAAGGCCGACGGUGGAAAUUAUUUGUGCGCCAUCGACGAGACCUCCGAUCACAAUAUAUCAAUCUGGGAUUGGCAGAAGAGCGACCGUGGCACCAAAGUGACCGAAACGAAGUGCUCGGUCGACACGGUGAUUUGUGCCGAGUGGCAUCCGCUAGAACGGAAUCAAAUAGUGUCUUGCGGGAAGGGACACGUGUCCUUCUGGUCCUUGGAUAACGGCGGCAUGCUGUACAAGCGUAUGGGCAUCUUCGAGAGCAGAGAUAGGCCCAGGUACGUCACGUGCGUGGCCUUCAAUCAGAACGGUGACGUUCUCACUGGCGACAGCAAUGGCAGCAUCAUCGUCUGGGCCCGAGGUACUAACACGGUCUCAAGGGUAGUGAGGGAUCUCCAUGCAGGACCGAUUUUCUCUAUAUGCGUUUUAAAGAACGGCGACAUUAUCACAGGUGGUGGAAAAGACGGCAGAUUUUUGUACUUCGAUUCAUCUCUGAAUCUGAGAACUGGAUAUGAAACUCAGAUCGAGGAACAUUUUGGCGGAAUUCGGACUGUUUCGGAAGGAAGAGGCUCACAGUUAUUAGUAGGCACGACAAGGAAUUGCAUUCUCGUCGGUGACGAUGAAAUGGGUUUUCAGCCGGCUAUGUUGGGCCACGCUGAAGAAGUUUGGGGACUCGCGGCUCAUCCGAAAUUGCCUCAGUUUGCAACUGCAGGACAUGAUAGAUUAUUGCAGAUGUGGGAUAGCCUGAGCCAUACUGUGAUCUGGAGCAAAGACAUUGGGGAACAAGCACAAAGUAUUGGUUUUGCGCCGAGUGGCAACGUCAUAGUUGUCGGUUGCGUGUCCGGGAAAUGGAUGGCUAUUGAUAGUGAAACGCGGGAGUUGUACACGCAUCAUAACGAUGGUUCCGAGCCCAUUCAGGUCGUUCAAUUUUCACCUGAUGGUUCUCUGCUUGCACUCGGUUCAAGGGAUAAUUAUAUUUAUAUUUAUCAAGUCAGUUAUGAUUCCAAGUAUAGUCGAGUUGGACGAUGCAUGCCAAAGCGGAUUCGAAGGGACAUUCAAGUUUCAUAACUCACCUGGACUGGUCCGUGGAUGGUCAGUAUCUGCGCAGUAAUAGCGGCGACUACGAAUUACUCUAUUGGAAUCCCAGCGUAUGCCGUCAAAUUUCCCAAUCUUCGAUGUUGAGGAACGUCGACUGGGCGACUCAUACCUGCGUGAUAUCGUUUGAAACGAUAGGUAUCUGGCCGGAGGGCGCGGAUGGAACUGACGUAAAUAAUUGCACA